CCUACGGGCGGCUGCAGUCGAGAAUCAUUCACAAUGGGGGAAACCCUGAUGGUGCGACGCCGCGUGGGGGAAUGAAGGUCUUCGGAUUGUAAACCCCUGUCAUGUGGGAGCAAAUUAAAAAGAUAGUACUACAAGAGGAAGAGACGGCUAACUCUGUGCCAGCAGCCGCGGUAAUACAGAGGUCUCAAGCGGUGUUCGGAAUCACUGGGUGUAAAGCGUGCGUAGGCUGUUUCGUAAGUCGUGUGUGAAAGGCGCGGGCUCAAGCCGCGGACGGCAUAUGAUACUGGGAGACUAGAGGAAUGGAGGGGGAAACGGAAUUCUCGGUGUAGCAGGGAAAUGCGUAGAUAUCGAGAGGAACACUCGUGGCGAAGGCGGGUUCCUGGACAUUAACUGACGCUGAGGCACGAAGGCCAGGGGAGCGAAAGGGAUUAGAUACCCGAGUAGUC
rnacentral:rRNA from 1 species